UGCCCCCUCCCGGAAGGUCGGAGGAUGUGCUCCGCUAAACCUCUCUCCUGACCUGGGGGAGCCUGGGCGG
ensembl:miRNA MIR9813 microRNA mir-9813